ensembl:misc_RNA Metazoa_SRP Metazoan signal recognition particle RNA
GCUGGGCGUGAUGGCACAUGCUUGUAGUCCUAGUUACUUGGGAGGCUGAGGUGGGAGGUUCACUUGGGCCUAGGAGGCUGAGGGUGCAGUGAGCUAUGAUCAUGCCACUGCACUCCAGCCUGGGCAACAUAAGGAGACCCCAUCUCUA